rnacentral:tRNA from 1 species
GGGGACGUAGCUCAGCGGGAGAGCACCUGCCUUGCACGCAGGGGGUCAGGGGUUCGACUCCCCUCGUCUCCACCA